rnacentral:rRNA from 1 species
UACAGAGGUCUCAAGCGUUGUUCGGAUUCAUUGGGCGUAAAGGGUGCGUAGGUGGCGCCGUAAGUCAGGUGUGAAAUUUCGGAGCUUAACUCCGAAACUGCAUUUGAUACUGCGGUGCUUGAGGACUGGAGAGGAGACUGGAAUUCACGGUGUAGCAGUGAAAUGCGUAGAUAUCGUGAGGAAGACCAGUGGCGAAGGCGGGUCUCUGGACAGUUCCUGACACUGAGGCACGAAGGCUAGGGGGGCAAACGGG